rfam:Blautia sp. CAG:52 genomic scaffold, scf375
UAAGUAGAAUAAAUGGUCGCGGCUGACAGAACCGAAAGGGGUCAGGUGAGGAAAGUCCGGGCUUCAAAGGGCAGGAUGCCGGAUAACGUCCGGUGGAGGUGACUCCAAGGCCAGUGCAACAGAAAUAAACCGCCAGGUUCGCCUGGUAAGGGUGGAAAGGCAGUGUAAGAGACUACCGCCUGUCUGGUGACAGAGAGGGCACAUGUAAACCCCAUCCGAAGCAAGACCGAACAAAAAACUAUGUGGCUGCCCGUCACGUUUUUAGGUAGGUCGCUGAAGCCUGCUGGCAACAGCAGGAUUAGAUAGAUGACCAUUCAAGACAUAACCCGGCUUAUCGUUCUGCUUACUUU